GGCUUAGAGUUUGAUCAUGGCUCAGGACGAACGCUGGCGGCGCGCCUAACACAUGCAAGUCGAACGGAGUUGAGAGGAGCUUGCUUUUCUUGACUUAGUGGCGAACGGGUGAGUAACGCGUGAGGAACCUGCCUCAAAGAGGGGGACAACAGUUGGAAACGACUGCUAAUACCGCAUAAGCCCACGGUCCCGCAUGGGAGAGAGGGAAAAGGAGCAAUCCGCUUUGAGAUGGCCUCGCGUCCGAUUAGCUAGUUGGUGAGGUAACGGCCCACCAAGGCGACGAUCGGUAGCCGGACUGAGAGGUUGAACGGCCACAUUGGGACUGAGACACGGCCCAGACUCCUACGGGAGGCAGCAGUGGGGAAUAUUGCACAAUGGGGGAAACCCUGAUGCAGCGACGCCGCGUGGAGGAAGAAGGUCUUCGGAUUGUAAACUCCUGUUGUUGGGGAAAAAGAGGAUGGUACCCAACAAGGAAGUGACGGCUAACUACGUGCCAGCAGCCGCGGUAAAACGUAGGUCACGAGCGUUGUCCGGAAUUACUGGGUGUAAAGGGAGCGCAGGCGGGUAUGCAAGUUGGGAGUGAAAUACAUGGGCUCAACCCAUGAACUGCUCUCAAAACUGUGUAUCUUGAGUAGUGCAGAGGUAGGCG
rnacentral:rRNA from 1 species